UUUCGGAAGACGCUUUCUCCUCCCCACCACGAGGGGCCUCUCCGGUGCCUGAGAGUUCUCUCACUGCUGACCUCUUAUCCGUGGACGCGUUUGCAGCGCCGUCGCCUGCAUCCACUGCCUCUCCUGCAAAGGCGGAGUCCUCGGGUGUCAUAGACCUUUUUGGGGAUGCGUUUGGAAGUAGUGCUUCUGAAACCCAGCCAGCACCACAGGCUGUUUCUAGUUCAUCAGCAUCGGCAGAUCUACUGGCUGGAUUUGGGGGUUCUUUCAUGGCCCCUUCUACAACACCUGUGACUCCAGCUCAGAAUAACCUGCUGCAACCCAAUUUUGAGGCAGCUUUUGGAACAACGCCUUCGACUUCAAGCAGCAGCUCCUUCGACCCAUCAGUGUUUGAUGGUUUAGGCGAUCUUCUGAUGCCAACCAUGGCACCGUCCGGGCAGCCUGCCCCUGUCUCAAUGGUCCCACCCAGUCCUGCAAUGUCAGCCAGCAAAGGCCUUGGAAGUGACCUUGACUCGUCUCUGGCCAGCUUAGUAGGCAAUCUUGGGAUUUCUGGUACCACAUCAAAAAAGGGAGAUCUCCAGUGGAAUGCUGGGGAGAAGAAGUUGACCGGUGGAGCCAACUGGCAACCAAAAGUCACUCCGGCCACAUGGUCAGCAGGCGUUCCACCGCAAGGCACUGUUCCUCCAACCAGCUCAGUCCCUCCGGGUGCCGGCGCCCCGUCUGUUGGGCAACCUGGAGCAGGAUAUGGAAUGCCUCCUGCGGGGACAGGCAUGACCAUGAUGCCUCAGCAGCCAGUCAUGUUUGCACAGCCCAUGAUGAGGCCACCCUUUGGAGCUGCAGCUGUGCCCGGCACACAGCUUUCUCCAAGCCCUACACCUGCCACUCAGAGUCCCAAGAAACCUCCAGCCAAGGACCCAUUAGCGGAUCUUAACAUCAAGGAUUUCUUGUAAACAAUUUAAGCUGCAAUUUUUGUGACUGAAUAGGAAAACUAAGCUGAGUUUGGAAACGUCAGUUUCAAAGUGAGCCACCAGUACCAAACCCAGUGCUGACUCGUAACUUCCUCUCCCAAACGCACAGCCCAGCUGUGACUGUGAACAUUAGGAAUGUGUACUUUAGCUGUUAACCCUACUCUCCAGCUCAUAGCGUAUUGGGUUCUUUGUGUGUUGUACGACGUAAACAAUGAGUGAAUGGUUCCAAUGCCUUUAGUGCUUUUCUGGACGUUGCCUGUGGACGGAUGAUGACGCAGCUGUCAUGUGGUGAGCCAUUUGGAAAGAUGUGUCUGUGUUUUCGAAGGUUUCAAUGUAUAUAUAACUUGGACGACCGCUCAAGUCCUCCCAUGAACUCUCUUCUCUUCUGUACCUCUGUUCCAAGCGUAACGUGAUACUAUCAGCUAGUGAGGAAAACACCCUUAACUAUACAGAAACUUUUUCCGUGUGGAGUACAUUUUUCCAAUCACAGAAACUUCAACUUGUCGUGGGAAAUGUUUAUUUUUGUGCGCUGUAUAUGUUAAGAAAUUUUAUUUUAAAAAAAAAUGAAGUUUAAUGUCCAUAAUAAAACUUCUCCUUAUGAAGCUACCUUAUCAAGAGUGAGAAAAACCGUAUGAGAAGUCCAUAUUUAUCACUGCUAUAUUAAGAUAUAUAUUUUAAUUAUAUUUGCAGGGUUUGCAUCUAAAUUGACCUAUUUAUUCAUUCUUGAUCAAAGGCACUGAAAAGUGGAGCCUGUUUCUAUUGUGUCUGUGAAAAAUGCAAUUAGAGAUGUGCUGUUUAUUGUGACUAUGAACGUGCCCCAAGAGACAUCUGUAACUUAAAGAGAACUGCAAAUAUUUUUUAUUUCAGUGUGGAUUUACGUACAUCUGUUCAGUUAGUAUUUCUUUGUGUAUUCUAUAAACUAGCGUUCCUCCCUCCUUCGACUGAACUCAAAGUGACUUCUAUUGUACCUUGUGAUAGGAUUGCAACCAAUCCAGCGAAUUGUAUCUUUUAAUGUACAUACUGGAUUCUUUGAUUUUUAGUUUGUUGUCAUACUGUCUGUGCCGAUGGCUUGGCUGAAGAUUUUGAUGCGUACACAAGGUCACUGUUGAUCAGUGUUGUUUAGUGGCUUGGCAGCUCUUUGUAAAAGCAUAUUGGGUUGGAAAGGCAUUUGCCUAUUUUUCAAAUUAUUUAAUAGAUGUAUGGUACCCUUUAAAGUGGUUGUAUCUGAACUUAUUGUGGGGAUAAACAUACACUGUAACGGGGGAAAAUUACCUAAAACCAAUUUCAAAAUGGCUUUUCUUUGUAUUUUGGUUUAAAAACCCAGUGCAUGUCUGCCCUCUGAGAUGCAAUAAACACCUUGAACAAAGAAAAUGCAAACAAG
rnacentral:lncRNA from 1 species